GCGUAAGCGCACGCAGGCGGUCUGUCAAGUCGGAUGUGAAAUCCCCGGGCUCAACCUGGGAACUGCAUUCGAAACUGGCAGGCUAGAGUCUUGUAGAGGGGGGUAGAAUUCCAGGUGUAGCGGUGAAAUGCGUAGAGAUCUGGAGGAAUACCGGUGGCGAAGGCGGCCCCCUGGACAAAGACUGACGCUCAGGUGCGAAAGCGUGGGGAGCAAACAGGAUUAGAUACCCUGGUAGUCCACGCCGUAAACGAUGUCGACUUGGAGGUUGUGCCCUUGAGGCGUGGCUUCCGGAGCUAACGCGUUAAGUCGACCGCCUGGGGAGUACGGCCGCAAGGUUAAAACUCAAAUGAAUUGACGGGGGCCCGCACAAGCGGUGGAGCAUGUGGUUUAAUUCGAUGCAACGCGAAGAACCUUACCUACUCUUGACAUCCAGAGAACUUUCCAGAGAUGCAUUGGUGCCUUCGGGAACUCUGAGACAGGUGCUGCAUGGCUGUCGUCAGCUCGUGUUGUGAAAUGUUGGGUUAAGUCCCGCAACGAGCGCAACCCUUAUCCUUUGUUGCCAGCGGUUAGGCCGGGAACU
rnacentral:rRNA from 1 species